UCAAACAAAGAAAAAAUAGCAAGUCUCAAACAAGUGGAUUGCUUCAGUGUUAGCAAAAUUAUCUUCAUGGAUAAACACCACUUUUGUCAUUUUUGAAGCGUAAAUUAAAUUGCUAGAAGUAAAACUCUAAUGUUAGGCUAUAAAAAGACGACAUUGUGAUUUCAUGACUAAAACAUCACCACCACUAAGCAUCUUACUACCUAAUUACUAUACACGUUUGAUGUAAAUUGACAAAUCUACAGGUUGCAAGGUUAAGGUUAGAAUAGUUUGUGACUUAAGUCGGCCUUUAAAGACAGACAGGCCUCAAGUUCAUCGAAGACUAGACCCUUGUAUGACUGCACCAUACAAUUUCCUCCAAAUCAUCAUCACCCCCUGCCAGUCUCUGAAUCCACUGCUCAGUCGCAACAGGAUUGCACAAACCAAGCUUCAAUUGGAUAAACAGCCACCAUCCGAACCCUGGAGGACUCCAUUUCAGCACAGGCACUACUGUGCAUUACCACCAGAGGGAGGGGAUGUUUUGGCACAAAGGAGAAAAAUCUGAACGAGGCCUCUGCCGACAUUUCCUCACAGCUGCCUUCUGUCACAGAAAAACAAACCACUCACUGGAUUGCAACAUUACAUUCCCAUUUUGAUCACAUAUGUCGUCAAAUGGUGUCACUCUUGACCUUUUGUGUGAAGCAGUUAACUCAAGGAUGUUUACAGAAUGUGGAUAAAAUGAAUUA